rnacentral:rRNA from 1 species
GUCAUAUGCUUGUCUCAAAGAUUAAGCCAWGCAUGUCUCAGUACAAGCCAAAUUAAGGUGAAACCGCGAAAGGCUCAUUAAAUCAGUUAUGGUUCCUUAGAUCGUACCCACAAUUACUUGGAUAACUGUGGUAAUUCUAGAGCUAAUACAUGCAAACAGAGCUUCGACCGGAGACGGAAGGAGUGCUUUUAUUAGAUCAAAACCAAUCGGUGGCGGGUUCGCUCGUUAUCGUACAACUUGGUGACUCUGAAUAACUUUACGCUGAUCGCACGGUCAUCGCACCGGCGACGCAUCUUUCAAAUGUCUGCCUUAUCAACUGUCGAUGGUAGGUUCUGCGCCUACCAUGGUUGUAACGGGUAACGGGGAAUCAGGGUUCGAUUCCGGAGAGGGAGCCUGAGAAACGGCUACCACAUCCAAGGAAGGCAGCAGGCGCGCAAAUUACCCACUCCCGGCACGGGGAGGUAGUGACGAAAAAUAACGAUACGGGACUCAUCCGAGGCCCCGUAAUCGGAAUGAGUACACUCUAAACCCUUUAACGAGGAUCAAUUGGAGGGCAAGUCUGGUGCCA